GCCCGGUGUAGGCGGGCGUGGGGCCGACGGUGGUGGUGACGGCGAGAUCCGCCUCGUCCGGCACGGGGGCCGGGCGC
rnacentral:tRNA from 1 species